GACGAACGCUGGCGGCGUGCUUAACACAUGCAAGUCGAACGGAAAGGCCCUGCUUUUGUGGGGUGCUCGAGUGGCGAACGGGUGAGUAACACGUGAGUAACCUGCCCUUGACUUUGGGAUAACUUCAGGAAACUGGGGCUAAUACCGGAUAGGAUCUCCUGCUGCAUGGUGGGGGUUGGAAAGUUUCGGCGGUUGGGGAUGGACUCGCGGCUUAUCAGCUUGUUGGUGGGGUAGUGGCUUACCAAGGCUUUGACGGGUAGCCGGCCUGAGAGGGUGACCGGCCACAUUGGGACUGAGAUACGGACCAGACUCCUACGGGAGGCAGCAGUGGGGAAUAUUGCACAAUGGGCGGAAGCCUGAUGCAGCAACGCCGCGUGCGGGAUGACGGCCUUCGGGUUGUAAACCGCUUUAGCCUGUGACGAAGCGUGAGUGACGGUAAUGGGUAAAGAAGCACCGGCUAACUACGUG
rnacentral:rRNA from 1 species